rnacentral:rRNA from 1 species
UACGUAGGGUGCGAGCGUUAAUCGGAAUUACUGGGCGUAAAGCGUGCGCAGGCGGUUUUGUAAGCCAGAUGUGAAAUCCCUCGGCUCAACUGAGGAACUGCCUUUCAGACUGCUUUGCUUGAGUCCGGGAGAGGUGAGUGGAAUUCCCAGUGUAGCGGUGAAAUGCGUAGAUAUUGGGAGGAACACCAGUGGCGAAGGCGGCUCACUGGACCGGAACUGACGCUGAGGCGCGAAAGCGUGGGGAGCAAACGGG